GGAAGAAAAGCUCCCUUAGGGAGGGACAGCGCGUGGGCGCAGCGUGAGAGGGAAAUGUCAGUGUGGUCCUCUUAGUCUCUGCUGCAGCAAAAGCACUACGUAAAAGGUGCACCUCGUGAUUUUGUGCGCACAGUCUGCCAUCAGAGCAGUAUUGUGCACCACAGCCACGUUCCUGCUGACUAAAAUCCAAAUGGGCUGUAAAAAGAAGAAAACUCAGAAGUCUCCUCACAUCCUGUGACCCUGCACACUACGUUACCAGGAAGUAAACAAAGAUCAGACUUUACACAUGAAGAUGUACUACAAUGGGCGCUGGGAACUGAGAGCCUUGGAAAACACAAGAGAACAACUUGCGUGGAAAAUUGCUAUUUUCAUUCCACGUCUGCAAAUGUUCCCUUUCAAGGGCGAUGCAAGAUGAGCGAAAUUUCUGUAAUGAGAUUUCUCAUGGGUUUAUCAGGGAGAGGGGAGAAUCUACCUGUAAAGUUUCGUAUUUGCUGCAGUGUAAAACUCUGGGAAUGAUAUUAUAAAAUAUGAUUUAUAUCAACUGAAAAGAAGGAUAAAAAACAUUGGCUGAAAAUCCACAGCUUUACUCACCUCUUAUCAAAACUCUUACAAAAAACAGUUUCGUAUGUUGCUAUACUGUUAUUCCUCUGGAGAGCUGUGUCUGUCAUGGCCAAAGAACAUUCUGUAUAUUCUAAAAUUUGUUCCUUGAAAACAUCUGAAGAAAAAGCAGGAGAUAUUUGGCUGCAUUGCUAUUUUGUUCUUGACAUGAAGAAAAGACCAUUUUGUAGUUUCUGUUGCAAUUUUGUAUAGUAGCAGAAGAAAAGGGAAGUGAGUCUAUGUGCUUCUUGGGAUAUUCUGAUACAAGUUUCCUUGUUCCACCCUGCAGUGAAAGUUGCCUUGGACUACAAUGGUGUGUACUUCUGGGUUAUGGUAGCAGCACUGUUUGAAUCUGAAAAUCCUGAGAAGGCUUUUCCAACAGGCAGCAACAAUACAGUAAAGAACAGAAGCUUACUCUGAAUUUUAGCAUCCUCUCUAACAUAAAGCAGAAAUUGUCUGGAUUUUGGUAGCAUUUUUUAGAGGAAGAUUCCAUCAAACUGGACCAUGCAGGCCAGUGAAAUUAUCUAGUGAGACUGAUGGACCACGCAGAAUCACAUCUUCCCUGUUCUUGCUGAGGUUAAGGGAGCAGUGAAUUCAGCCUGCAUAAAGAGUAAAUGAAAUAAAUUAUUAUUUUUAGGUUGUCCUGACAAACAUCGUUUUAUGCGGCUUCUUACAAACGCGGUGCAUGUAAGCAGUAGGAGGAGCUGUUGAGCAAGAUAUGUUUUUUCUAGCUCGUUAUAAGGUGUAUACUUGUGAAGUUGAUUUGUGAAGCUGACUCAGUGAUGACUUUUCAAGCCU